rnacentral:rRNA from 1 species
GUACUUUUGGCAGAGAAGAAAAGGUAUCUCCUAAUACGAGGUACUGCUGACGGUAUCUGCAGAAUAAGCACCGGCUAACUACGUGCCAGCAGCCGCGGUAAUACGUAGGGUGCAAGCGUUAAUCGGAAUUACUGGGCGUAAAGCGUGUGUAGGCGGUUCGGAAAGAAAGAUGUGAAAUCCCAGGGCUCAACCUUGGAACUGCAUUUUUAACUGCCGAGCUAGAGUAUGUCAGAGGGGGGUAGAAUUCCACGUGUAGCAGUGAAAUGCGUAGAUAUGUGGAGGAAUACCGAUGGCGAAGGCAGCCCCCUGGGAUAAUACUGACGCUCAGACACGAAAGCGUGGGGAGCAAACAGGAUUAGAUACCCUGGUAGUCCACGCCCUAAACGAUGUCAACUAGCUGUUGGGGCCGUUAGGCCUUAGUAGCGCAGCUAACGCGUGAAGUUGACCGCCUGGGGAGUACGGUCGCAAGAUUAAAACUCAA